CAGGAAAUGUCAGGCAGCCGUGGCCUCCAAGCAGGACCCGGAAGUGUGGCGUUUCUUUGUGUUCUUCGGCGAACUCUUAAGGAAUAACUGUAGCUUGCGAGCUCAGGCGGGACCAUGCUGACUCGGCUGAAAGCAAAAUCAGAGGGGAAGCUUGCAAAACAGCUAUGCAGAGUUGUGCUGGAUCAGUUUGACAAACAGUAUUCGAAAGAACUUGGGGAUUGCUGGAGUAAAGUAAGGUCAGUAUGAUUCAUCCCUUGAUAUUUUGUGAGAGACCAGUGGAAGUAUGAGGUAAAUACCUCCUUGGUGAGAGCGGUCCAGCAAGAGCGUGGUAUAUAUUUUACAGGUAAAGGAAUCCCUCUCCUGCUUGAGCUGUAGAAAUGAGGGACAAAUCAAAAACAGAAGACAUAGUGAAAGUAAGGUUGAAUACCUUCUCAAUUUUAUCUGUAAAAUGGGAAUGUGCUAUAUUUUAAAACAAUGCUGUAAUAAAAAUCCUAACUUUGGAGAAUUCUAACGUUGUGAAAUUCAGAAGAUAACAAGUCCUUAAAGUCAGUGUUCUCUCUCUUGGCUAAAAGUCAGGCUUUAUUGGGCAAUUAUGAUCACCAUUACAUCUGUAUCUGGAACAGGUGCACAUGGACAGACCAAUCUAAAAGCUAAGUGGCCUUCAUGAUGGCUGUGGUUCAAAUGGUGGGGAGGGAAGGCAGUUGACGUUAGGUUGGUAGAUUGUGGGUUGUCUUUUGACCUCCAUGCUUAGCCAUACUCUAUCCCUGAAAUAAAUUCAACAAUUUCUAAAGUGACAAAUA
rnacentral:sRNA from 1 species